UACGUAGGGGGCAACCGUUGUUCGGAUUCAUUGGGCGUAAAGGGUGCGUAGGCGGUCGCGCAAGUCGGAUGUGAAAUCUCAGGGCUCAACCCUGAAACUGCAUUCGAUACUGCGUGGCUAGAGUGCUGGAGAGGAGACUGGAAUUUACGGUGUAGCAGUGAAAUGCGUAGAUAUCGUAAGGAAGACCAGUGGCGAAGGCGGGUCUCUGGACAGUUCCUGACGCUGAGGCACGAAGGUCAGGGGAGCAAACGGG
rnacentral:rRNA from 1 species